ensembl:lncRNA
GCCUGAGGAAGCUUGUGAUCCAUUCUACCAGGAGCUUCCAGCUAAGGAAGGUCUCCCAGGGAGCCCCACAACUAAGGCACCCUGGAAGAACAAAACGGAUGAACAAUGCACACAACUCAGGUUUGGCAAAAGGAAAAGGAGAACUCACCGAGUGCACACGUUUUUCAGCGAGGAAUGGCUGGGCAGCUUUUGUUUCCUGUUUUAACCAAAGCCCUCCUGUGAAGGAAAUAACAAAGAUCACUUUUCCACCCCACUGCUGUAACUCAGACUAGAGAAAACCAUUUCCUGGUGUGUGGGACUGACAGAGCUCUCACCCACUUAAUGAGUCUGGCUGGGAACAUUUUCUUUGUUUUUGCUAUCGGAGCUUGCUGAGUGACCAUGCCACAUUUGAGAAAUUUUGACUAACUGUGAGCCUGCUUUUCCCAGCAGACCUUCCCCCUUCCCUACUUGCCUUCUCCCCCUCCCUCUUAUCCUCCUCCCCAUACCACCCCCCCAAAAAGAGAGGUCAGACUCAAAACACAGAAGGGAACAGCUUGGUGUUGUGGACUUGGAGUCAGAAACCCUGGAUUUGAGUCCCC